GAAAGUAAGACUAAUACCCAAUGAUAUCCCACGAAGGCAUCCGAAUGGGAUUAAAGAUUUAUCGGUGAUGGAUGGGGAUGCGUCUGAUUAGCUUGUUGGCGGGGUAACGGCCACCAAGGCAACGAUCAGUAGGGGUUCUGAGAGGAAGGUCCCCACAUUGGAACUGAGACACGGUCCAAACUCCUACGGGAGGCAGCAGUGAGGAAUAUUGGUCAAUGGGCGAGAGCCUGAACCAGCCAAGUAGCGUGCAGGAUGACGGCCCUAUGGGUUGUAAACUGCUUUUAUAAGGGAAUAAAGUGGGUCUCGUGAGACUUUUUGCAUGUACCUUAUGAAUAAGGACCGGCUAAUUCCGUG
rnacentral:rRNA from 1 species